CUCAUCACCCACAAAGGGUAACAAUGAAGAUUAAGCAAUGAAGAUUAAGCUGACUAUUAUUGUGGUUUAUUGGCUAAGAUAGAGUGC